UGCGGGACAUUGUGGCUCAACUUAAGACUCUUGGGGUAGAUAUAUCAGAUGACUUUGUCGUGUACUAUGCUUUGUACACCCUACCAUCACCAUAUGUACCCUUUUAAAUUUCUUAUAACACGCAUAAGGAAAAGUGGUCCAUAAAUGAUUUAAUGACCAUGUGUGUUCACGAAGAAGGAAGGCUUUCAAGGGAAAUG